rnacentral:rRNA from 1 species
GACGAACGCUGGCGGCGUGCUUAACACAUGCAAGUCGAACGGAAAGGCCCUGCUUUUGUGGGGUGCUCGAGUGGCGAACGGGUGAGUAACACGUGAGUAACCUGCCCUUGACUUUGGGAUAACUUCAGGAAACUGGGGCUAAUACCGGAUAGGAGCUGCUGCUGCAUGGUGGGGGUUGGAAAGUUUCGGCGGUGGGGGAUGGACUCGCGGCUUAUCAGCUUGUUGGUGGGGUAGUGGCUUACCAAGGCUUUGGCGGGUGGCCGGCCUGGGAGGGUGACCGGCCACAUUGGGACUGAGAUACGGCCCAGACUCCUACGGGAGGCAGCAGUGGGGAAUAUUGCACAAUGGGCGGACGCCUGAUGCAGCAACGCCGCGUGCGGGAUGACGGCCUUCGGGUUGUAAACCGCUUUCGCCUGUGACGAAGCGUGAGUGACGGUAAUGGGUAAAGAAGCACCGGCUAACUACGUG